UACAGGGGGCUCGAGCGUUAGUCGGAAUCACUGGGCUUAAAGGGUGCGUAGGCGGCUCGCCAAGUGCUUUGUGAAAUCCCACAGCUCAACUGUGGAACAGCAGGGCAGACUGGCGAGCUUGAAGCAGGUAGGGGCCGGAAGAACAGUUGGUGGAGCGGUGAAAUGCGUAGAUAUCAACUGGAAUGCCGAUGGGGAAGCCGUCCGGCUGGGCCUGUCUUGACGCUGAGGCACGAAAGCGUGGGGAGCAAACAGG
rnacentral:rRNA from 1 species